rnacentral:tRNA from 1 species
GGCUGCCUGGUGAAAUGGUAGACACGUUGGCCUUAGGAGCCAAUGCCUGAAAAGGUGUCCGAGUUCGAGUCUCGGGGCAGCCA